GAGUCCCACCAUCCACCAGUGACACCUAGCAGCAUGUAGUGGCUACCCAGCAGAAUGGAAUGAUGAACCUCUAGGUGCAGUUAACAUGUGAUACAGUCCUACUAUCGUGGAUCCCUACAGGACGGAGGUCAUGGACAACUCGUCAAACCCCAUCGUCUGUCAUAUGUCAAGAUUUAUUCGACUUGAGUUCGAUGGUGGAAAACUCUUUUUCCACUUUAUAUUACUGCCCUGGCCAAGGUCUUAGAACUUAGUCUAACAAAUCACAUAGGAUCACUCCUCUUCUAUCAAGGUCGAUAGAUUCCUUAUAGGUGCAUACCCUACUCCUACAGUGAACCUACUGCAGCUAAUCUACACUGCAUGGACCCAUAUGG
rnacentral:lncRNA from 1 species